ensembl:lncRNA
UAACACACAGGUGUGCCCCACACAUAUCUAUCUGAGUAGAAUAUUUUGCCAAUGUAGAUUUAUAAUUAUAACUUAUAUAACUACAAAUUAUAGAUUUAUAAAAUAGAUUUUUGAAUACAAACUCAGCUGUCAUAUUGAUGUCAUUAAAAGGAAACUUGAAAUGUUGAAAAUCUUUGGAACCUAGCCUAAUUUGACAUUGAUAUUUUUCCACAGAACUUCCUUCCUUCCGGUUGGAAUAAUUUUGCUUUUUUUAUUGAUGAUGCAUGCAUGGAUCAGAAUUACAUGAGAAACUAGUAUCUAAAAAGGGCUUAUUUUUUCCUGCUUUUUAAAUGUUAGGUGCAGAGGUAGUUGAAAGUUUCCUGAUAUAACUAAGGUUUCAGCUUGCUUCAUUUCAUGUGUUAGAAUAAAAUUUCACCUGCACCUCACAUUCUGGUAGUCAACACUUCUGAGUGAAAGUUAAGAAAACUUUUCAAAAAUUAUCUUUGUGAGUUAAAGAAAAAUAAGCAAAGCUAGUUAAGAAUCUAUUCACUUGUAAUGAGAAUCACCAAAAAUAAACUUUGGUAACCCCAGUGUCUUUCACAAUUUGGUGUUCUUUGCUGCUAGUGGUGACUUGGAAUGUUUAAUUUUUUUUUCCUAACUGUGGAUAUAAUUUUACACAUCCUUAUCAACGAGGCUGGAAAUUUAUAGUUGGAAUUAGCAUAAUGAGAAGGGGAAAAAAUGGAUGAGAUUUACCAUGUGCUAAUGAAAGAUGAAGUUUUGUAAUCUAGAAUGAUGUAUUUCCUACUAUGUCUGUUAAUUUGUACCAUUAGAUAUACUUAAAGUUUAAAAUCCCUAUGUUCAAUCAUGUAAAGCAGCCACUGAUUUUUUUCUCAAAAAGGGUGACUUUUCUGCACCAGCAGUGUUUAUGUUUUGGCUAAAGAGUUGAAAGCCUUGUAUUCUUAAAAAAAUUUUAAAAAGACCUGAAAGUAGUGCUUUAGAAAAUGUAUUUUACGUGUGUAUCUCAGAUUUUCAUCCUUCAAUACACAAUUCAUAUGUGUCACUUGUAUUUCUGGAAAUGCUUCAGGUUAUUUAUAUUUCCCUUUUGGAAUAUUCCUCUAUUUUUAAUAUAUCAUGUUGAUUUAAAUCUAUGUCACCAUAGGACCAGGAGCAGGACUGUAGAGGUGUUCAUGUCAUCUGAAAAGAGGUAAUCUUAGUUACUGAUCAGUCUCCAAAUUGUUAUACAUCUCAGAAGUGGAAUUUUCUAUAAUAAUCUUAUUUUUCUACCUGUCUGUUCCACCAAUUUGAGAUGUACACCAUUGAAAAGGAAAUAAAAGAGUUGAUUUGUUUGAAUAACUACUACUUCCAA